CUGGCUAUGACAACAUAUGAGAAACGUUUGUAAAGAAUCAGUUUCUGUCACGCAUGGAUGAAAUGGGUUCUCUCUUUAGGUUUUUAGCCAUGCUAAGCUGCUCUAAGGAUGGCAAUAUCUCAGCAACUAGCCACUAUAGACUUGUCAAUGUUCACUCUGCAAUACUCAAAGGAGGAGCUGAAGGAGUAGAGGGAACUCUUUAUGACCUGGGAGUUUGCUUCGCUGGAUUAACCUCUGGCCUUUGUCACAUUAUCCACUUAGCAAGUUGAGAAGAGUAAGGAAGGCAGAGAGAUGGACUAGAUUCUUCCCCUCCUCGGUAGACAGGCAGCAGACACGCCAGGACACCAGACCAGGGAGUAAGGGAAGUAGAUGAGACGAAGGGAGGGAGGCCGGGCCCCAGACGUCACAUCUGCCACCGCUACUCCCCAGGGGCCUCCAGGGCAUGGGAACCUCGCUUGUCUCCACACAACCUCCCCCUCUCCAUGCUCUGACCAGUCCCUCCACCGGCCUGGGACCUGCUCUGCCUGGCUGGGACCCCAGUUCUCCCACUCGUUUCCCUGACUAUGUCACACUACUGCUGUUGCUUUUUAUAUUCUUUGUCUCUGUUCUUUCCUUUCUUUCUCACUUUUUCUAUCUGUCUUUGUCUAUAUGUACCUCCACCUUUACAAACCAAAUCUUUGCAUACAUGUGAAAAUAAGUCCAGUCGAUAACUAUUACAACAGCUUUGAUCUGACUCUGUACUCCAGUGUGCUGGAUUUAAAAUGAAACAAUGAGCUGUUACAAGUGCUGACUUUCAGAUUUCAUUUGAGGGUGUUUCCAUUCACAUGAUGAACUGUCUAGGAAUUGCAACCCUUUCGCCAGGCUGCAAGUCCUACAGUUGUUUGGUAAAAAAAAAUCAAUUAUAAAAUAAAUAAAAAUCAAGUAGAGCUAGUCGAUUAAUCGAUUAGUUGAUCUCCAGAAAGUUAAGUUUUUUAAGAAAAAAUACCAGCUUCCAGUUUUUAAAAAUGUGAACAUUUGCUGGUUUUCUUAGUCUUUUGUGACAGUAAAUAGAAUCACUUCGAUUUCCUGACAUUUCGUUUAACGUAAACUAUUAAUCAAGAAAAUAAUCAGCAGAUUAAUUGAUAAUGAACAUAAUCGUUAGUUGCAACACUGAACUCAGUGUCCACUUGCUUUAGUUUACAUCCACAUCUGAUGUACUGAGCAGAAAUCGUAGCCCUUCAGUCUCAAGGGUGAGCUCCAUCCGCUGAGGAAGACUGUGAGAUGCGGUUGAGAGCUCUGGGAAAAAAGGCUAGUAAGUUGAACUUGAUUUGGGGUGCCCUACAGGUUUAAGAUGUUGACCAUGUGAUCAAAACGCCCCUGGUUCAAGCCCGACUAUAGGGACCUUUGUUUUAUUUCAUUCCCUUUCUCUCCCCUCAUUUCUUGUCAUCUCUCUACUCUCGACUCUAUCGAACAAAGGCAGACAACGCCUCAAAGUGGACAUUGAGUUAAGAGUUUCAUUUUGUGUGUGAACACCUUAAAACACUCUGAGAACCAGCACUUGAAAAAUCCACUCAAAUAACCCCACAGUCAUUGAGUAGAGCCACUACUAUGAAAAACAAAUACUAGCAUUAACUAAAACUACAACUAAAAUCAAUACUAAUACUAAUAGGAACAUUUUAUCUCUAUGAGACCUAGGCAGAACUCCUCACUGGGAGCUGCUGGUUGAUUCUUCGUCAGGUCUACUCACUCUGUGGAAAGGCAGUCAGUGAUGUUGUGCUCUUAAGAGGGUGAACUCACACCUACACGUCUGUUUCUUUGGUCCAAACCACAGUGGAAAAAUUUGUUCUUGCAUUUUUUUAAAGCAAAAGUUACAUCUUAAGCUGCUUGUUUUCUAGACAGAGUUUUGGUAAGCUGCCAUCCUGGAGGGCAAAAGAUUUAGGUGGAAGAGGAGAGUUAGAGUUAAAGUUCCUGUAACUUCUGCUAUGCAUUAUUGACUUGUAUGUGAUCGUUCAUGU